CUACGGGACGCAGCAGUGAGGAAUAUUGGUCAAUGGGCGGGAGCCUGAACCAGCCAAGCCGCGUGAGGGAAGAAGGUACAGCGUAUCGUAAACCUCUUUUGUCAGGGAACAAAGGCGGGGACUAGUCCCCGGAUGAGGGUACCUGAAGAAAAAGCGUCGGCUAACUCCGUGCCAGCAGCCGCGGUAAUACGGAGGAUGCGAGCGUUAUCCGGAUUUAUUGGGUUUAAAGGGUGCGCAGGCGGCCUGUUAAGUCAGCGGUAAAAGCCCGGGGCUCAACCCCGGCGAGCCGUUGAAACUGGCGGGCU
rnacentral:rRNA from 1 species